GGAACUGUGUGUCUUUAUGUUGAUUUUCUCGCAUUAAGUAUUGAUGGAGCCCACUACGUGCCAAGUGUCCCAGAAGCCGCUGUUCCUCUCGUGCCUUCCCAGGUUUCACGGAUUCAAUGCAAAGCCGUCGGGGUGAAACAAACCUGAGGCCACGGGGUAAGGGACUGGCCUGGGAGCUUCGUGUGGCCACCUGGGGCUGUGGGAACCAGGACACUGAUAACCACGGCCGUCAUAGCAGCAACAGUGACUACAGCUGAGAGAAGAAGACAGAGAAGAAAGUUGUCCUCCAGGACCAAGGCUCAACUCCCAAUUCUAGGAGAGGAUUCUGGCCCCCAACCAGUUUAGCAUUUCCUGUCACAUCUUGCCUGGCGCAUCUGUCUGGCUGUGACAUGGUUCUUUGCACCCCAUGCUGCCCCCAACACAGCAGUGUAGCUUUACCAUACCUCUCUCCAUGCUCACCAUGUCCAUGCUAAGCCGGGGACUAGGCAUCUUAAGACUCUGAAUCCAAGGGUAACCUUUAGAUGGAGUUACCCAACUCUGGCUACUCCAAGAAGAGAAUCUGUGGGGCCUCUUGCAAAGGACUUCAUUAAAGUCUUUUAUU